CCUACGGGUGGCAGCAGUGGGGAAUAUUGCACAAUGGGGGAAACCCUGAUGCAGCGACGCCGCGUGAGUGAAGAAGUAAUUCGUUAUGUAAAGCUCUAUCAGCAGGGGAGAAAAUGACAGUACCUGAGUUAGAUGCCCCGUCUAACUACGUUCCAGCAGCCGCGGUAAUACGUAGGGGGCAAGCGUUAUCCGGAUUUACUGGGUGUAAAGGGAGCGUAGACGGCAGUGCAAGUCUGUAGUGAAAGUCGGGGGCUCAACCCUCGGACUGCAGUGGAAACUGUACGGCUGGAGUGCAGGAGAGGUAAGUGGAAUUCGUGGUGUAGCGGUGAAAUGCGUAGAUAUUAGGAGGAACACCGGUGGCGAAGGCGGCUUGCUGGACUGUAACUGACGUUGAGGCUCGAAAGUGUGGGGAGCAAACAGGAUUAGAUACCCUUGUAGUC
rnacentral:rRNA from 1 species